GUGUGUGUGUGUGUGUGUGUGUGUGUGUGUGUGUGUGUGUGUGUAGAGAGUUAGUAGCUGAGGAGUGAGAAAAACUGGCGGAGACAUCUCAGAACGCCUACCUUCAUAGAAGCUGUUUUAGCUAGAGAUGAGAUGUGAAGUUUCCAGUUCAGAUUAUAAGUAAAGGACAGACUGAGGAUGUUCAGUGUAGAAGAGGGGGACAGUUGAGUGCCAUUGAAGAAAAGGGGAUAGUUGUCUGGAAGGUUGUGUCAAGUCAAGUGGACUGAUGGAGGAAUUGAGUUUUUGAGGCAUUGAACAAUACCAAGUUUCCUCUGCCCCAAUCAAAAAUUUUAGAAAGAUCAGAAGUCAGGCGUUCUGUGCUUCCCUGCGUGAAAUAUUUACUUCCUGUAGGGUUGGACGUCUAUGAAUCAUAAAGACAUGGAAAAGUGCUGGGUGGUAUCAUCAGCAUUAGGAGUGGAUGGGAAAAGUUUGGUUUAGAAGGUCAAUGAUGAAUAAUAAGAAGAGAGUGGAUGACAGGACAGAACCCUGAGAAACACCACUGUUAGGACUACAGUUAUGAGGUGAUUUGUAAAUAAUAUUAAUUUAAUAUUGGCUUCAACUUCAUAUUUCCUCAUUUAGGUAAGUGUAUGGAAUUUUAUAACACAGCUUGUGUACAAUUUAUUAUAAUUAUAUUUUUUUAAUGAUUUCUUCACUAUGUCAUUCACACUCCAUUGUAAUUUCCUCAGAUGGCAGUCCUUUAAAUGGCAGCCCUGUAGAUGACAGCCAAUGUGAUUAGAGCAGUGGAUCAGUUGAAGAUACACAACUGCAUAUACACACACCUUAAUUGUGUAUUACUUAUCAGUGUGUAAUAUGCUUUCCAGUGAUAGCUGUUUAAUAAUAAUUGUUUUCCUUCAACUGAACAGUGCAAAUAUAACUGUGAGCAUAUAUUGCCAAGAUCAAAUAAUUUAGGAUAUCUCAUCCCAGAUUGCCUUUACAGCAUAUUUACACAUAAAAUUUGCACAGGCAGUUAUUUAUUAUUAUUAUUAUUAUUAUUAUUAUUAUUAUUAUUAUUAUUAUUAUUAUUAUUAUUAUUAUUGUUAUUAUUUAUUUAUUUUAUUUUAUUUAUUUAUUUUUUUCACCCUAAGAUUCAUGCUUUAUUUUUCUCACCCAGUAGAACAUGAAGCAUCCCAACCUGAUGCCAAAGAAGUCAAAGAUGCUUCACAAGCAGAGGUUUCACAUUAUGGCAAGAAAUUAAUAAUGUUACAUUAAGGUGUUAUUGUAUACUAAAAUAACAAAUUGUAUGUAAUACCAUUAUGUGAUGUUUACUACCCCGUUAUUUGUGCAGAUUUUUUACAGAAUGAAUUUUGGAUGGCUGGAAAUGAAUGAUGACAGUAUCAUCCCUGACCUUCCACCACAGGCUUCCUUGAAUGCAACACAAGUGUAUCCCGCUAUAUAUCUGUGAUGUCACACCUGUAAACAAAAUUGUCACUGGAGACCCUGCUGGCUUGGCUUUCAAGACACUCAAGCACACUACCAUCUUCCUCCAGAAGACUGGACAACUCACUAGAAUCUAGCCAGUUAACUGCAGCCAGCACCUUCAAGGCACUAGAGGCUGUAGUACCACAGCCUGCACAGCCCCAUCGAAUCCCCAAGAACCUUACACAGCUUUACACAGACUCCAGAACACCUACUGCUACACUGCCCUUGCCACCAUUCCCACAUGAAUACAUUUCGUGCUGACAAAGUAAAAAAGUAAAAACAAUGGCCUAAAUAGAGAAAUUGACAAAUACUGAGAAAUCACUUAUCCUCAUAGUAAAAUGCCCUCACAGUACAAUACUGAAUAUACAGGGCUACAGUAUAUUCCUGUUAACCUGGAAGAAUUAUUCUUUUUCAUAGAAGUAAACACAGGUCACAUCUGUGUUGAAAAUAUUAUUAUAAAUAAUUAUUAAUGAGGACUAAUACCAAGUCCUAAGGAUAGUUAUUUGGAACUAAAAAAGUUACAGAAGUGUAAUGACGAGAAGAAAAGUUAGGUAGACCUACAGGGAAAUGUUAGAUGGUAUGCAAAGGGUGAGGACAUGAAAUGCACUCUGUAAUCUAAUGUUUCUUGAUUUGUGACUACAUCAAUAAUGACUAAGGUCUAGGGUUGGUAUGUACUAGCCUUUCUGGUAGUACAUUAUAUAUUCUUAUCUAAUAUUAAUUCCACAUGAAAUUAAAACUAGAUGUACAGUACAACUACUAACUCUUAAAGAGAACACAACACUUCACAUGAUGCGUAAAUCUUACAAUAAAAACAAGAAUGGGGAGAAAAUUUUAGGAUUUAAAUGAGGUUUCUGCUGGCGAGGGUAUCCAGCAUGCAUCACCAACUUGAUGUCAUAGAGUGCGUGACAUCAUGGCUGAGUUGAUGACAUUUCACCGAACUAUUCUUAUCUCUCAUCCUUGCCCUCUCCAACAUUCACCUGUGGUCCAGAUCUUAAGGAGGUUGUCCAAGGAGCCGGCUCUGUGGCAUCUGCCUACAUCUGUGUCUAGGUGGUCAGUGGCCUGUACAGCCAACACCAAGUUGUCAAGCAGAGGGAGUCCUUUUGGGGUGGGAAGAGGGAGCUUCUCCAAGUACUCGCCUCCACCACUUCUUCCAGGCUCCUCCCACUCUCCUCCAGUCAAUCACUAAG